AUUGAACGCUGGCGGCAGGCCUAACACAUGCAAGUCGAACGGUAACAGAAAGCAGCUUGCUGCUUUGCUGACGAGUGGCGGACGGGUGAGUAAUGUCUGGGAAGCUGCCUGAUGGAGGGGGAUAACUACUGGAAACGGUAGCUAAUACCGCAUAACGUCGCAAGACCAAAGAGGGGGACCUUCGGGCCUCUUGCCAUCGGAUGUGCCCAGAUGGGAUUAGCUUGUUGGUGGGGUAACGGCUCACCAAGGCGACGAUCCCUAGCUGGUCUGAGAGGAUGACCAGCCACACUGGAACUGAGACACGGUCCAGACUCCUACGGGAGGCAGCAGUGGGGAAUAUUGCACAAUGGGCGCAAGCCUGAUGCAGCCAUGCCGCGUGUAUGAAGAAGGCCUUCGGGUUGUAAAGUACUUUCAGCGGGGAGGAAGGGAGUAAAGUUAAUACCUUUGCUCAUUGACGUUACCCGCAGAAGAAGCACCGGCUAACUCCGU
rnacentral:rRNA from 1 species